GAUGAACGCUGGCGGCGUGCCUAAUACAUGCAAGUCGAGCGAACGGACGAGAAGCUUGCUUCUCUGAUGUUAGCGGCGGACGGGUGAGUAACACGUGGAUACCCUCCCUAUAAGACUGGGAUAACUUCGGGAAACCGGAGCUAAUACCGGAUAAUAUUUUGAACCGCAUGGUUCAAAAGUGAAAGACGGUCUUGCUGUCACUUAUAGCUGGAUCCGCGCUGCAUUAGCUAGUUGGUAAGGUAACGGCUUACCAAGGCAACGAUGCAUAGCCGACCUGAGAGGGGGAUCGGCCACACGGGAACUGAGACACGGUCCAGACUCCUACGGGAGGCAGCAGUAGGGAAUCUUCCGCAAUGGGCGAAAGCCUGACGGAGCAACGCCGCGUGAGUGAUGAAGGUCUUCGGAUCGUAAAACUCUGUUAUUAGGGAAGAACAUAUGUGUAAGUAACUGUGCACAUCUUGACGGUACCUAAUCAGAAAGCCACGGCUAACUACGUG
rnacentral:rRNA from 1 species